rnacentral:rRNA from 1 species
UUUCUUCGGAGAGUUUGAUCCUGGCUCAGGAUGAACGCUGGCGGCGUGCCUAAUACAUGCAAGUCGAGCGAACUGAUUAGAAGCUUGCUUCUAUGACGUUAGCGGCGGACGGGUGAGUAACACGUGGGCAACCUGCCUGUAAGACUGGGAUAACUUCGGGAAACCGAAGCUAAUACCGGAUAGGAUCUUCUCCUUCAUGGGAGAUGAUUGAAAGAUGGUUUCGGCUAUCACUUACAGAUGG